rnacentral:rRNA from 1 species
UGGGGAAUUUUGGACAAUGGGCGAAAGCCUGAUCCAGCAAUGCCGCGUGUGUGAAGAAGGCCUUCGGGUUGUAAAGCACUUUUGUCCGGAAAGAAAUCCUUGGCUCUAAUACAGUCGGGGGAUGACGGUACCGGAAGAAUAAGCACCGGCUAACUACGUGCCAGCAGCCGCGGUAAUACGUAGGGUGCAAGCGUUAAUCGGAAUUACUGGGCGUAAAGCGUGCGCAGGCGGUUUGCUAAGACCGAUGUGAAAUCCCCGGGCUCAACCUGGGAACUGCAUUGGUGACUGGCAGGCUAGAGUAUGGCAGAGGGGGGUAGAAUUCCACGUGUAGCAGUGAAAUGCGUAGAGAUGUGGAGGAAUACCGAUGGCGAAGGCAGCCCCUGGGCCAAUACUGACGCUCAUGCACGAAAGCGUGGGGAGCAAAACAGGAUUAGAUACCCUGGUAGUCCACGCCCUAAAACGAUGUCAACUAGUUGUUGGGGAUUCAUUUCCUUAGUAACGUAGCUAACGCGUGAAGUUGACCGCCUGGGGAGUACGGUCGCAAAGAUUAAAACUUAAAUGAAUUGACGGGGUCAUAGCUGUUUCCU